UGAUGGAUGUUCCUGUAAAUGGCCAGCAACAGCCCACAUUCAGUUUGAGUGUAGUUCUAAACUUUAUUGAGGUUAUAAAUUCGGUUUCACUUUUACUUUGACCUUUUGGAUUACACCACAAAGACAGAGAUAGGAAGAGAAGGUUACACAGCAAAAUGAAACACAAUGGACGUAUGAACAGUGGAUGCAGUCAAAGUCAAGGUGCAAAAGAGGAGCGUGGAGAGAGUGAUGACUGAGAGAAGAACGAGGUGAGCAGAUGGGCAGAAGUUAGGAGAAAAACUCAAGUUUAGCAAAAUGUAAAUUAAAAUCACAAAAAGAACUUCUAGGAAAUACUAAAAUCUAUUUCACCACUUGAAGCUGGUAUAAUUGAUGCCCUGUGAUGAGCCUCCACAAAGCGAGGGUUUGUGUAAACUGGAAAGGCUUGAUAUAAAAGCAGCUCUUGUCCAGCGUGCAUGGAGUAGCAGUCUGAUUGUUAUGUGUCUGCUGAAUGCUACUACUUACUUAAUUGCUUCAUAAUUUGGUGGACUGACUCUAAAUGGUUAAGAGGCUAAAACAAUGUUGUGCAUGUUUCACCUCUUCCCUGCUUUACUACUUUAAGUAUUUUCUCAACUUUCUCGAAAGUUCUAAUCAACAUGAUUGAUACUGUGUCUCAGAUUUGAUAACUGUAGUUAUCAAAUCUGAGUAUUCAGUCUGAAUUAUUCUUAAGCAUUACAACAACUCAUUCAAUUAAUUCUUUUGAAUUUGAAAGUAAAAUUGUAAAGUGUACACAAUUUGAAUUGAAGUUCACUAUAGUGAAAAGGGUUGGAUAUGUUUGCAUGCAGCAUAUUCUAAUAGUGUUAAUUGCAGGGCACUGUAUGCAUGACAUUGUGAUUGGGGCCUAGUCCUAUUCCAUGUGCUUUUUUUGUUUUUUGAGUUAAUUUUUGAGAGGUUUGGUUUAUGUUUCAUGUAUAAUAAUGGAGCUCACUGGGAACCCAAAACGUCUGCUGCGUCUGCUUACCUACCACCUUACUAAACACUCGAGCCAGACUACUUCACGCUUACCAUGUAGAUCAUGUUUAUGACCAUGUUUAUGAGCACAGUGUAAACUUCUUCUCCUGUUUCCAACGUGAUAAUGUGCCAUUUGUCCUUAAAUGGCCUCCAGUCACUAGAUCUAAAUCAGUAGGGCACCUUUGGGAUGUGGUGUUAUUGGAAGCACAUCAUGGAUGUAGAGCCACCAAAUCUGAGGCAACUGUGUGAUGUUGUCAUGUCAAUAUGGGCCAAAAUCUCUAAAGGGAAAGAAGGGGUACAACAUGGUACUAUUAAGAUGGGUGGAUAUCACAUAGAGGACUAUCUAAGAUGUAAAAAUGGAAAAAACUGAGAAAAAAGAACCAAAUUAAACUCAGCAUGCUGUAUUGCCAUCUUUUAUUGCACUUUGUAAGCAGAUGCUGUACAGUAGCUGUGCAGAGAAGUUAUUCCUCAGUGUGACAAACAACCAUUGCAGGACUAGGACAGGUUCAUCCAAAAUUAAAUUACUUCUGGUCACAACUGAACACA